rnacentral:rRNA from 1 species
AUUGAACGCUGGCGGCAUGCCUUACACAUGCAAGUCGGACGGCAGCACGGGGGCAACCCUGGUGGCGAGUGGCGAACGGGUGAGUAAUACAUCGGAGCGUGCCCCGUAGCGGGGGAUAACUAGUCGAAAGAUUGGCUAAUACCGCAUACGCUCCACGGAGGAAAGCAGGGGAUCGAAAGACCUUGCACUAUGGGAGCGGCCGAUGCCCGAUUAGCUAGUUGGUGAGGUAAAAGCUCACCAAGGCGACGAUCGGUAGCUGGUCUGAGAGGACGACCAGCCACACUGGGACUGAGACACGGCCAAGACUCCUACGGGAGGCAGCAGUGGGGAAUUUUGGACAAUGGGCGCAAGCCUGAUCCAGCCAUGCCGCGUGCGGGAAGAAGGCCUUCGGGUUGUAAACCGCUUUUGGCAGGAACGAAACGGCGCUCGCUAAUACCGAGCGCUAAUGACGGUACCUGCAGAAUAAGCACCGGCUAACUACGUGCCAGCCGCCGCCGUAAUAC